rnacentral:rRNA from 1 species
UACAAUGAAGAGUUUGAUCCUGGCUCAGGAUGAACGCUAGCGGCAGGCCUAACACAUGCAAGUCGAGGGGCAGCAUAUCACUUCGGUGAUGAUGGCGACCGGCGCACGGGUGAGUAUCGCGUUUGUAACCUACCCUUAACUGGGGGAUAGCCCGGAGAAAUCCGGAUUAAUACCCCAUAGUAUUUAAGCACGGCAUCGUGCUUUCAUUAAAGCUCCGGCGGUUAAGGAUGGGCAUGCGUGACAUUAGUUUGUUGGUGAGGUAACAGCUCACCAAGACUACGAUGUCUAUGGGGUCUGAGAGGAUGAUCCCACACACUGGUACUGAGACACGGACCAGACUCCUACGGGAGGCAGCAGUGAGGAAUAUUGGUCAAUGGACGAAAGUCUGAACCAGCCAUGCCGCGUGCAGGAUGACGGCCCUAUGGGUUGUAAACUGCUUUUAUACAGGAAGAAAUCCCUCUACGUGUAGAGGGUUGACUGUACUGUACGAAUAAGCAUCGGCUAACUCCGUGCCAGCAGCCGCGGUAAUACGGAGGAUGCAAGCGUUAUCCGGAUUCAUUGGGUUUAAAGGGUGCGUAGGCGGGGUAAUAAGUCAGUGGUGAAAUCCUGCGGCUCAACCGUAGAACUGCCAUUGAUACUGUUACCCUUGAGUAUAGUUGAAGUGGGCGGAAUAUGUAAUGUAGCGGUGAAAUGCAUAGAUAUUACAUAGAACACCAAUUGCGAAGGCAGCUCACUAAGCUAUCACUGACGCUGAGG